CGGCAGGCCUGCUGCCUAGCGCCAGGGCGGUGCUGGCGCUGCUGUUCUUGGGACUCGCGCUGCUGAGCGUUGGGCCUGCUCCGGCACAGGCUCUACACAAUGUCACGGCCGAGCUCUUUGGGGGAAAUGACUUAAUCGUCUUUUUGGCAGAUCAGAGUGCACCCUAUUUUAAACCCAAGGUAAAGGUGUCCUUGAAGAAUUUCAGUGCAUUGGUAACAAGUGUAGUCCCUGGUGAUUAUGAUGGGGACUCACAAAUGGAUGUCCUGCUCACAUAUUUUCCCCAAAAUCAUAGCAACAAUGAAUUAGGAGCUGUUAUCUUCUGGGGACAAAAUCAAACAUUAGAUCCUAAAAACAUGACCAUACUCAAUAGGACUUUUCAUGACCAGCCACUGAUUAUGGAGUAAGUAUGUGCUUGCUUUACUUAAAACAGUUUAACCCCUACAAAUGUAAAAUAAAAUCUUUUAUGUAGAAAGCUUCUUUGCUAAGUAGGAUUGACACUAAAUUCAUUUCUUAAGAUUAUAGGAACCUAUAUACAAGGUUACAUGGCUAAGAGGCCGUGAGACACAAAUGAGAGAAAAUCGAUUGUCCUAAAGAAAAGAUGAUAUGGAUUUUUUUUGUUUUGAUAACUUGUUUGUUCCUUGUAGAUCUAUAGUGAUGUGUCAUUGUGCAUCAUUCUUUAAUUCAAAUAGGAAUUUUUGAGUUAAAAAUGUUGAUUGUCAGAUAUAAAGAAUAUCAGAUUUCCUCCAGAAAUGGGGAAAGAUUACACAUUAAAAAUAAAAUGUCGGGGGGUUGGGGAUUUAGCUCAGCGGUAGAGCGCUUGCCUAGCAAACGCAAGGCCCUGGGUUCGGUCCCCAGCUCCAAAAGAAAAAAAAAAAAA
rnacentral:lncRNA from 1 species